rnacentral:rRNA from 1 species
AGAGUUUGAUUAUGGCUCAGGAUGAACGCUAGCUACAGGCUUAACACAUGCAAGUCGAGGGGCAGCAUGAAACUUAGCUUGCUAAGUUUGAUGGCGACCGGCGCACGGGUGAGUAACACGUAUCCAACCUACCGUUUACUACGGGAUAGCCUUCUGAAAAGGAGAUUAAUACCGUAUGGCAUUCUAAAGUUUCAUGACAUUAGAAUUAAAGGUUUACCGGUAAUCGAUGGGGAUGCGUUCCAUUAGAUAGUAGGCGGGGUAACGGCCCACCUAGUCAGCGAUGGAUAGGGGUUCUGAGAGGAAGGUCCCCCACAUUGGAACUGAGACACGGUCCAAACUCCUACGGGAGGCAGCAGUGAGGAAUAUUGGUCAAUGGACGCGAGUCUGAACCAGCCCAAGUCGCGUGCGGGAAGAAGGCCCUCCGGGUCGUAAACCGCUUUAGCCGGGGAGUAACGUGUGGGACGCGUCCCUCAGUGAGAGUACCCGGAGAAUAAGCAUCGGCUAACUCCGUGCCAGCCGCAGC